AAGGAUACAAGGAUACUACUCUUAGAGAAGCUAGUUUUAUUGUAGGUACCAUAAAAGAUCUCUUAAUGGGGAUUUACGGGCUGUCUGGACCUGGAGUGCAGAGGGAAGAAUCUAUGAAGAGUCCAUUAGGAUAGUAGGAUAACACUCCAAACCAUUUCAGACACUAUCUCUUCCCCUAAAUAAAAACAAAUAACCAGUAUGAGAAUGGAAUUUUGGAAAUGCAAGAAGACGUGGACAUAAAGGAAUAUCAGAAGAUCCUUCUACCACUCAUCUAUCUAUUACAGUAAUAUUGACACUGACUAGCAACUGACCUCCAGGAUUUCUGAGAAUUUCUUUUAGCUCUUCAUGGAUUGUCUAGAAUUAAAACAGAGAUCUUCCAGAUACAAAACACAUGCUGACCCUUGCAGGAAAUUUUUGUAGAAACAACAAAAGUUUUCAGUCUGAAGUAUAGGACACUGGUCAUCAAAGGAACUUUUUAGAGUGCAAUAAUUUUGUGAUCCCAACUAUUUCCCAAGAUUUUUUCUUUAUAUGGGAGAUCAAUAGAUUUAUAAAUUCUUUUUCUUCCCAAGUUUUUUAUUUUUUAUUUAUUUUUUUACAAACAUAUCAAUGUGUGAACAGUAUGGCACCUGAGUGUCUUACAUUUUAGUACAAAUAAAAUAAUAUUUAUAAUA